GACGAACGCUGGCGGCGUGCUUAACACAUGCAAGUCGAACGGAAAGGCCUGCUUUCCCUUGUGGAUUGCGGGUACUCGAGUGGCGAACGGGUGAGUAACACGUGAGUGAUCUGCCCCCAACUUGGGUAUAAGCCUGGGAAACUGGGUCUAAUUCCCGAUAGGACUGCAGGGUGGUGCCUGUGGUGGAAAACGAUUUUCUAGUGGUUGGGGAUGAGCUCGCGGCCUAUCAGCUUGUUGGUGGGGUAAUGGCCUUCCAAGGCGGCGACGGGUAGCCGGCCUGAGAGGGUGGACGGCCACAUUGGGACUGAGAUACGGCCCAGACUCCUACGGGAGGCAGCAGUGGGGAAUAUUGCACAAUGGGCGGAAGCCUGAUGCAGCGACGCCGCGUGGGGGAUGACGGCCUUCGGGUUGUAAACUCCUUUCGACCGCGAGGAAGCCACCUGGUUGGAAGGGUGGUGACGGUAGUGGUAGAAGAAGCACCGGCUAACUACGUG
rnacentral:rRNA from 1 species